UUCGCCAAACCCCUCUUUGCUUUGCUUUCCUGCCAACGAUUCUUUUUCUUCUCUGGCUUGCAACUCACAGCGCGCAAAACCCUAGUCCAUCCCUCGAUCUGCUUCCCUUCUCCGUCGAUGCGAAUUGCACGAAUGAACGUUUCUAAGAAAAUCCUAACCUUGACAGGUUAUGAGUUGGGUCAAAAAGACCCCAAAUUCGGAUCUAGCAAGUCGUGGGUCAUCUCCCUGAGCAGCAUGUGGUUGCUCAUUCGCCUGCCCGCCAGCAGCGCGUGAGCUUGCAGGCGGCAACGUGUGGGGGUCGGGGUGCUCUUCUUCUGUUUCGGAUCUGAUCCUACAUCACUCACAGUGCCUUGUGCUGUAGCAGAGGAGUCAAGAGUUAGUACAAGGUUCUUACCGUUAUCGUCAAUUAUCCCAUCGUCAAGCAGCUUUGGUAUGCUGAUACUCAGCCCCAGGAGAGUAGCUGCUGCUGGCCAAAAGGCAGCUCGCC